AAGGAGGAAACUGAAAAUCCAGAAAAGAGUAAGUA
rfam:Chryseobacterium sp. Leaf394 contig_2, whole genome shotgun sequence.